UUCAAAUUUGUGCAUUUGGGUGCAAACGUGCAGGAGUGUGUCCAGGUGGUGCCUGCGUGUGGGUGGGUCCUGUGUGAGCCAGAGUGUGUAUGUGUGUGUGUGUAUGUGUGUGUGUGUGUGAGAGAGGAUCUUCACAUGUGGACCGCUGUGACUCGUCGCAGGAUGCUCGCCGGCUCUGCGCUCGCGCCCUCGGCUGCGUGCUUACCGCCGAGAUCUCGCUGCUCCAAAACACACAUCUGCAUCGCUUACAGAUCAAAAUGUUUGGGUUUUUUUUCCCCUUCUUUCUAGCACACACACACACACUCACUCACACACACACACACACACUCCGAUACAACCUGCCGGACUGGCUUUCUACUUUCCUAUAUGUAGCUGCCGCUCGGAGACGAGAGGGAGACGGAGAGAGAAGCGGGGCUGAAGGACGCUGGUGCUUUCGCUGAAAAGAUGUUUUUCUUAGACGCUCCAACAGACAGGAAUCUACUGGCAAGAAGAAAGCUCUGGUCUUCCCCAUGAGAGAGGAGUACAAAGCCCCCAGUCUGCACACAGCAGAUGUGGAAAGCUAGUCCAUCUGCCACCAGCUUGCCGAGCCACUUGAGCCUGAGAGAUUUAAUACGAGCGGGGACGUUUAUUUCGUUAUUUGCCUAAAAAGGUUGGUGUCAUACACAUAGAAUAAACAUUUAAAUUAA